rnacentral:rRNA from 1 species
AACGAACGCUGGCGGCAUGCUUUACACAUGCAAGUCGAACGGUAACAGGCCGCAAGGUGCUGACGAGUGGCGAACGGGUGAGUAAUGCAUCGGAACGUGCCCAGUCGUGGGGGAUAACGCAGCGAAAGCUGCGCUAAUACCGCAUACGAUCUAUGGAUGAAAGCGGGGGACCGUAAGGCCUCGCGCGAUUGGAGCGGCCGAUGUCAGAUUAGGUAGUUGGUGGGGUAAAGGCUCACCAAGCUAACGAUCUGUAGCUGGUCUGAGAGGACGACCAGCCACACUGGGACUGAGACACGGCCCAGACUCCUACGGGAGGCAGCAGUGGGGAAUUUUGGACAAUGGGCGCAAGCCUGAUCCAGCAAUGCCGCGUGCAGGAAGAAGGCCUUCGGGUUGUAAACUGCUUUUGUACGGAACGAAACGGUCCUGGUUAAUACCCGGGGCUAAUGACGGUACCGUAAGAAUAAGCACCGGCUAACUACGUGCCAGCAGCCGCCGUAACAC